AACGAACGCUGGCGGCGUGGCUAAGACAUGCAAGUCGAACGAUAGCUUGUAGCAAUAUGAGCUAUAGUGGCGGACGGGUGAGUAAUAAAUAGGUAACGUACCCCGGGUCCAGGGAUAGCGUCGGGCGAAAGCCCUUUGCGAAAGUGGCGGUAAUACCUGGUAAUGUCUUUCGGUGGCAUCAUCGGAAGACCAUAGGGUGGGGACCUUCGGGCCUAUCGGCCUGGGAGCGGCCUAUUUCCUANCAGCUUGUUGGUUGAGGUAACGGACUCACCAAGGCAACGACGGGUAACCGGACUGAGAGGUCGGCCGGUCACAUCGGGACUGAGACACUGCCCGGACAUCUACGGAUGGCUGCAGUAACGAAUAUUCCGCAAUGGGCGCAAGCCUGUCGGAGCGACGCCGCGUGGAGGACGAAUUCCUU
rnacentral:rRNA from 1 species